rnacentral:rRNA from 1 species
GCUUGUUGGGGUUGUAGGACACUCUAUACGGAGUUACAAAGGACGACAUUAGACGAAUCAUCUGGAAAGAUGAAUCAAAGAAGGUAAUAAUCCUGUAGUCGAAAAUGUUGUCUCUCUUGAGUGGAUCCUGAGUACGACGGAGCACGUGAAAUUCCGUCGGAAUCUGGGAGGACCAUCUCCUAAGGCUAAAUACUCUCUAGUGACCGAUAGUGAACCAGUACCGUGAGGGAAAGGUGAAAAGCACCCCGGAAGGGGAGUGAAAUAGAACCUGAAACCGUGUGCUUACAAGUAGUCAGAGCCCGUUAAUGGGUGAUGGCGUGCCUUUUGUAGAAUGAACCGGCGAGUUACGAUUUGAUGCAAGGUUAAGCAGUAAAUGUGGAGCCGUAGCGAAAGCGAGUCUGAAUAGGGCGUUUAGUAUUUGGUCGUAGACCCGAAACCAGGUGAUCUACCCUUGGUCAGGUUGAAGUUCAGGUAACACUGAAUGGAGGACCGAACCGACUUACGUUGAAAAGUGAGCGGAUGAACUGAGGGUAGCGGAGAAAUUCCAAUCGAACCUGGAGAUAGCUGGUUCUCUCCGAAAUAGCUUUAGGGCUAGCCUCAAGUGAUGAUUAUUGGAGGUAGAGCACUGUUUGGACGAGGGGCCCCUCUCGGGUUACCGAAUUCAGACAAACUCCGAAUGCCAAUUAAUUUAACUUGGGAGUCAGAACAUGGGUGAUAAGGUCCGUGUUCGAAAGGGAAACAGCCCAGACCACCAGCUAAGGUCCCAAAAUAUAUGUUAAGUGGAAAAGGAUGUGGCGUUGCCCAGACAACUAGGAUGUUGGCUUAGAAGCAGCCAUCAUUUAAAGAGUGCGUAAUAGCUCACUAGUCGAGUGACACUGCGCCGAAAAUGUACCGGGGCUAAACAUAUUACCGAAGCUGUGGAUUGUCCUUUGGACAAUGGUAGGAGAGCGUUCUAAGGGCGUUGAAGCAUGAUCGUAAGGACAUGUGGAGCGCUUAGAAGUGAGAAUGCCGGUGUGAGUAGCGAAAGACGGGUGAGAAUCCCGUCCACCGAUUGACUAAGGUUUCCAGAGGAAGGCUCGUCCGCUCUGGGUUAGUCGGGUCCUAAGCUGAGGCCGACAGGCGUAGGCGAUGGAUAACAGGUUGAUAUUCCUGUACCACCUAUAAUCGUUUUAAUCGAUGGGGGGACGCAGUAGGAUAGGCGAAGCGUGCGAUUGGAUUGCACGUCUAAGCAGUAAGGCUGAG